rnacentral:lncRNA from 1 species
GCUGCCCGUCACAUCGGUGGGCUGAGAAACCUUCCUUAAAGACCUGUGAUGUUUUGUAAACCCUGACUGUUCUGGUGGUUGCAAAGUUAGUGUCUGUUUAGUGUUCCCCAUCUCACCAGAAGUGUUUCCUUUUUCUCAUUCAUAGAGGUCCUGUAAUAAAGAGGGAUCCGAACAAGCUCAGAAAGAAAAUGAAUUUCAAGGGGCCGAGGCCAUGGUUCUGGAGAGCGUUAUGUUUGCCAUUCUCGCAGAGAGGUCACUUGGGCCAAAACUCUAUGGCAUCUUUCCCCAAGGCCGACUGGAGCAGUUCAUCCCGAGCCGGCGAUUAGAUACUGAAGAAUUAAGUUUGCCAGAUAUUUCUGCAGAAAUCGCCGAGAAAAUGGCUACAUUUCAUGGUAUGAAAAUGCCAUUCAAUAAGGAACCAAAAUGGCUUUUUGGCACAAUGGAAAAG